GUUCAAGACUCUCCUGAGGCAAACAUAUUUGUUCUUUUUGCCAGCUAGGUCCCUGCUUUGGGAGACUCCGCCAAGCUUGACUGUGGUUUUAUUUGUUUGUUUACUUUUGUAGGGCAGUCUUCUCUCUGUUAUCCUGGUUUGAGGCCUAGUGAAGAAUGUCCUGCCAAAGAGUCACCCAGUUUCUACCAAGUGUCUCAUGUUCUCUCAGAAUGGCAUUAGAGGGAACAGAAGUGCAUCUUGACCCGUGUCUGUAUUCUGUGGAAAAUGAGAAGUCAGAGCACCAGGACCGUACGGGAGCUAGGGAGAAGGCCAAUGAAUCCACGCCCGGCUGAGUCCUUCAUGUUCACGCCUUAUUCAAACUCUACAGUUUAGUUUGGUCUGGAUUGGGUAAACAUCAUUUGAAGUCAUUUGCUCUGCAGAAGUUUGAG
rnacentral:lncRNA from 1 species